CUACAGCUGAAAAAUUAGAUCAAGAGAAACGUAAUGCUAUGAUCAGUGGUAAUGAUAUCAAAGGAACCAAUGAUGUACACAGUGCUGCUACUGGACCAGCUCCUCCUACAGGCACAAAAAAGCCAUUGAUGGGAUGUCCUCCACUCUCUUCUAUUGGAUUAAUGGAUAUACCAGAUGAUAGACCAAAAGUAUCUGAAUUGAUAGAGUUUCAUGAGUUAUUAAUCAAAGGACAACUGGAGGGAUCUCUACCACUGCUUCAUGCUGAUACUGUAAGAAAGAUUAGAAA